GUCUACAGCCAUGCUACCCUGAACAAGCCCGAUCCCGUCUGAUCUCGGAAGCUAAGCAGGGUCAAGCCUGGUUAGUACUUGGAUGGGAGACCACCUAAGAAGACCUGGUGCUGUAAGCA
rnacentral:rRNA from 1 species